AACAGUGACUUGUGCAAAGGGGCAUCACCAGGAGCCAGUGGAACAAUGUCAGAAAGUGGUUGGUCUAACACCCAGGUUUUCAUUAAGUAUCUGACCAAACACUUCAUACAAUUUAUGCCUGGCAGGUGUGAAUCCAAAAUUCUGUUGCUUUUAGAUGGUCAUAGGUCCCAUGUAUCAUUCCUUCUUGCAGAGUGGGCAAAGGAGAAUGGUAUAAUUUUGUAUGUUUUACCAGCCCACACAAGCCACCUGCUCCAACCUCUAGAUGUAGCCUGUUAUGGCCCAUUACAGCGGAUGUACCAUUCGCGAUGCCACAAAAUUAUCCGUGAGACAUCAGCUGCCAUCGCCCAGUAUAAUGUUUGUGAUAUCGUCUGCCACGUUUAUCACAAAGCAUUGUCAGCAGAAAACCUUCAAGUUGGCUUUCGCAAAACAGGACUGUUCCCCCUAAAUAAGGAUGCAAUUCCCAGGGAAAGUAUGUUUCCAGCCCAAGUGUAUCAUUCAGAUGACACUGAUGAUUCUGAUUUAACUGUAGAGGGAGGGCUACAAAUUGGACCUGAAAAUGAACACACCAGCACUUUUUUUGAAACUGUAGAACAAAAAAUAAGAUCAGUAAAAAAUCAAAAAGCUAAGAAACCAAGGAAAACGGUUAGCAGACUGGUGUCUGGAAAAGAACUUACCAGUAAUGAGGUAAUGGAGGCCAUAAAAAAUCAUGAACAAAAUCAAAAACCUUCCUUGAAAAAAUCUCAGGAAACACAAAAAGGUAAGCUCGCAGUAAAAAAAAAGUAAGCAAAUUGUUGCAACAACAGCACCUAGUCCAGUAGCAGGCCCAUCUUGUGUUGACACAGCAGUGGGCUGUUCCAGUAACAGCAGUGACAGGGAUGAGGUUUCUGAUGAAAAAUGUUGUGUUUGUCACAGAUUCCAACCAAAGGAACUGUCCGGCUGUAUUUCUCUGACAUUUGUUAAGUGGGUGCAGUGUGAUGGUUUAAAAAAUGGCAUCCCAUGCAAGCACUGGACACACCUUACAUUCUGCACACCUGUAAGGUGUGUCAGAAGGGGUGACAAAUUUCUGUGCUGCCAUUGCAAUAGCAAUGAAGAAUAGUUGAAGUCCAACAAACGCUUGUAAAUAUGUUAAAUUGAGUUGAAUUGUGUUGAAACAUUUUAAUUAUUGUACAGUUGACACUCUUUAUAUGACUAAUUAACAUUACAACCCAAUUACUCAAUUGUAUCGGCCUAAAUAAUAAACUGUGUGAAUGACGUCAGAUGUCGCGACCUUACAUUCAUCUGUCAAAAUGGCGGACACUGUAAACAUGUUGUAAAAAAUACUGUUGUUAUGGAUUAGAUAGCGCGAGUUGCAGGAAAUAAAUAUGCUCCAUUUACUUGUGUAAUAUUGGUUUCUUUCAACAAGUCACAUCUGGUCAGUCUAUUUGUGACUUGUAGUCACAAUAGUUCACAUAAGGUUAUACCCAAGGAGUGUCCGUAAAGGUGACUGGUAGCUGCGGAAUCCCACAGCCAUAGCCAGAGAACAGAAAUAUCCUUUCACGUAUCCUUCAGUUAAUGAAAAACCGUGUCUUUAUGAUGCCAAAAAAUUUGCUGAAGUUUCUUUCUACAUUUUUAUUUAUCAAACUAUUUUCCAUUAUUAUACUUUCAUUAAUGCUUCAUAAGUGUAAUAUCUAUCAAUCUUAAUUUUUAAUAUCAAUUUUAUGUACAGGUAUAUGUUUUGUAAACACAUUUUGAUUUAUAUAAUUAUAUACAUAGGUGUUUCAGCAAAUUAGCAAGUUUCAGGUUUCAAGUAUUUAUGUACGUAUAACAUUUGUGCUCAUUAUAAGUAAGACAUAUGUAUUUGUAUCUAUCUCUAAAACACACUCAAGUGUUAUUGUCACUAAAAGCCAUGCUCGCUAUUUAAUAUACUAUCAUUUACCGGUAUGUGUCUUUAUGUACUUAAGUCAUGAACAAUGUGAAUCAUAUUCACAAUCUUGAACUCGUGGGUUAUAUACUACAUAUGAAUUAUAAAAAAGCGGCUCUUCUUAACAUUUGAUUAUGUUUUCGACUAACAGUAUAUUUUACAAUAGGAUUUUGGAGACAAUUAUUUAUAAUCUCUUUCUCAAUAUUAAUGUAAUUUUUGUAAUCUGUCAUUAUAUUUUCAAGAUUAUACCAAGUUUUAAUGAUUUUAAUCAUCUGUUCUGUAUGCUGCUGGUUUUAUAAUAUAUGCACGCUUUUAGUUAUCAUUUCAGGCCAUGCCUACCUCUCAACACCGCAAUACAAAGGACCUGUCCGCUGGCUGGCACUUCCUGUACAAGUACUACAAAGGGGCGAUAAGGUACGUUUCCAGCCCUUCCUUUGAACACUACAUUAAACCUGCCUACCUCUCAACACCCGAAUACAGAGGACCUGUCCACUGGCUGGCACUUCCUGUACAAGUACUACAAUCGGACGAUAAGGCACGUUUCCAGCCCUUCCUAUUGAACACUACAUUAAACCACGAAAGACCCGAACGAACAAUUACGGCUAGAAACAGGAAGACUUCACUCUUCAGAACAUUGUGUAUUAUCUAGUGAACUUCAGUUUUUUAGUUCUCAUUUCAUACUUCUACAUUUUUAAUGUUAUGUCCGAUUAUAGUUAUCAGCUCAGGCUGAUACUAAUGGUUUAGUUCUCUCCGAAGUAAGUAUGUAAAUGCCUGAUUUAAGUUUUUCAGUUUAGACUGAUAUUGAUGUUAUAGUUCUCUACGAAGGAACUAUUUUUAUGCAGGCCUUGAUUAUAUUUUUCAAUACUCGGUCUGAUUUUGCUUAUACCGUUCAGGCUGAUAUUGUUGUUAUAGUUCUCUACGCAGGAACUAUGUUUAUGCAGGCCUUGCUUAUUCAUUUUUCAAUAUUUGGCCUGAUUUUGCUUAUACCGUUCAGGCUGAUAUUGUUAUUAUAGUUCUCUACGCAGAACUAUGUUUAUGCAGGCCUUGCUUAUUUAUUUUUCAAUAUUUGGCCUGAUUUUGCUUAUACCGUUCAGGCUGAUAUUGUUAUUAUAGUUCUCUACGCAGAACAAUAUUAUUGAUCUCUACGCAGAACUAUGUUCAUGCUGGCCUUGCUUUUAUAUUUUCCAUUAUUCAGCCUGAUUUUAGUUAUACCGUUCAGGCUGAUAUGGAUGUUAUAGUUCUCUACGCAGAACUAUGUUUAUGCAGGCCUUGCUUAUUAUUAUUUUCCAAUAUUCAGCCUGAUUUUAGUUGGACCGUUCAGGCCGAUAUUGAUGUUUUAGUUCUCUACGCAGAACUAUGUUUAUGCAGGCCUUGCUUAUUAUUAUUUUCCAAUAUUCAGCCUGAUUUUAGUUGGACCGUUCAGGCCGAUAUUGAAAUUUUAGUUCUCUACGAAGGAACUAUGUUUAUGCAGGCUUUGCUUAUUAUAUUUUACAAUAUUCAGCCUGAUUUUAGUUGGACCGUUCAGGCCGAUAUUGAGAUUUUAGUUCUCUACGAAGGAACUAUAUUUAUUCAGGCUGUGCAUAUACUUUUCUAUAUUCAAACUGAUUUUCAGUAUUCCAUUCAGGCUGAUAUUGAUGUUAUGGUUCUCUACGAAGGAACUAUGUUUUAUGCAAUCCUUGCUUAUAUUUUUCAGUAUUCUUCCUGAUUUUAGUUAUUCCGUUCAGGACGAUAUUGAGGAUAUAGUUCUCUACGAAGGAACUAAAUUUAUGCAUGAUUUUAGUUAUUCAGUUCAGUCAAUGCUUAUAUUUUUCAAUAUUCUGCAGAAUUUUAGUUAUUCAGUUUAGGCUGAUAUUGAUACUAUAGUUCUCUACGAAGGAGCUAUUUUACCUUAGUUGGGCACCAGAUCAGGUCAUGCUUGUACUUCUUACAUGUUCCGUCUGAUUCAGAUAUCUGGACAUGCCAUGUUUAUAUUUAUCUUUUAAUUUCUGCCCAGUAAGGCAUCGUUGGGGUUUACUCUACCCCUCUAACUAAACUUAUUUCUAUUUCUUAUGACCAAAAUUGUUAACUUAUUUUCCCUGUUUUUCUGAUUGGUAUGUGCCAAUUUUACCGUAUAUGCCAAUCUUUACGUGUAGUUAUUCUAACAGUUCUAGUGUCAACACAUCUUUCCCAUUGGUACUUGUUAAAAUACCAAUUCAUAUGAUUAAUACCCUGAUGAUACUCCUGGGGUUCAUAAACAUGUGUGUUGGCGUAUUAUACGAAUACAAUUGCCUUCUGCCCGAUCAUCUUCAUCUCCCAAAAGAUGCUUCUGGGUCUAAGAUUUUGAAGCUACUGUUGGGCAUAUUAGUUUUUCAUAUCUCUGAGUUAACGAGUAUGUCGCCCCACAGGGAUCUGCCACAUCCCUAGGUAAAUAAUCAUGCUCCACUAAGUCACACCAAAUACGAUCAUUACGUUUCCUAGGUUUUGUCCUCGAAAACCAUUACAUAUAUAUUUUCCAUCAUAAUCCAUUACCCUUUUUACUUUGCUUACUCAUAAGCGAUAAUCGUUAGCCCAGUUCUUUCACGUUUUAAAUCACGGGCUUGUUACCCGAGCUGUUCCAAAUGGUUAUUCCCACAGAUAUUCCUCUGGAUUAAUGGUAUUUGUUGUAUAUGUCUCUUUAACUGUCUGCCAGUUUACAUCUGCAGCCCAAUUGUUUAUUACUUUUUGAUUGGUCGCUCUUUUUCAAGUACAUUCCGAAUCUUACUUUUGUCAAGGUUUUUCAUAUUAUGUAUAUAUGUUAACUGAAAGUUUAUUGUUCCAAUUGUCUUUCACUCAUUUACUGGUACCGGUACUUCAUGCCAAUGCUGGUUGUCUGUCGGUUCCAAACCACAGCUCCAUAGUUGUACUACACGGUACAUUAUUGCUUUCCCUGUUUAUGUGUUACAAUUAUUAAUUUGCUUUUGUUGUGUUGCUUGACUGUUUAUGUUUAACCAACAGUUUAACCCCGCAGGUAACCUUUUACCUAUUACCAAGGUCUGUUAUUAAGGCAAUGUUUGUCUUUUUUUAUCUCAUUGUCUGAUAGUUUAAGAAUACAGUGCCAUUGUUUUACUAUAUGAUUGCUUACUCCUGUAUGGGUACAUAUUUUUACUUAUGUUGUUCUGCUGUACAAUCUAUGUUUACCUGAUAGGUAAAGGGUGCAGAUUGUAUUUAAAUUUUACCAAUACCCUUUUUUAAGGCCAAUAUGUGUUAAAUAUUUUUCAUACGUUGUCUGAUGGUUAAAGGAAGCCCCUAUAUUGUUUUACACUGGGUUCAUGAUACCUUACUACUUAACCACUACAUUUUAAUAUUUUGCUUCGUCAGGUUCUUGUACAUUUAAAGUUAACCUUAUAGUUUAAAGCUGCACAUUCAUUUUCACCUCUUAACAGGUACCUGUACUUGGUCUUAAUUCCAAAAUCUGUUGUAUACAUCUGUUUGGGCAUCUUGUUGGUUUAAGGCAUCUCCAUUGUAUAACAUAUUAUUGUUUACUUUCUUAUCGUUACAGGUAAUUUUUCACCUAUAACAAAGGCCCGUAAUUAGGGCCAUAUCUGUUGUAUAUAUCUCCUAUGCAUGAUGGUUUAGGGCCACAGCUCCAUUGUUUUACUAUAUUAUUGCUUACUUUUUACCGGUACAUCUUUUUUUAUAUUUAUUUUCGUUGCUUUGCUUUACAAUUUAUGUUUACCUGACAGUUUAAGGCUGCAGGUAAUUUUUCAUCUAUUAAUAAGGCUGCUGUUUAAGGCAAGUAUCUGUUGCUUAUAUCUCCUAUGUUGUCUGGCGGUUUAGUGCUCGGAUCGGGGAUUAUACUAUAUUAUUGAUUGCCUACUCUUUUACCGGUACGUUGUCUUAUUUUAUCGUGUGUUGCUUUGCCGUACAAUAAAUGUUUACCUGACAGUUUUAGGCUGCAAGCAAACGUUUCACCUUUUAACAAGGCUGUUUAUUAAAGCCAUUAUUUGUUGGGUAUAUCUCCUAUAUUGUAUGACAUUUUAAGGCCGCAAAUACAUGGUUUUUUCUUCAUGAUUGCUUACUCCUUUAAGUGUGCAUCUUCUUACCUUACUUUUGUUGUUUUGCUGUAAAAGUUAUGUUUCCCUGACAGUUUAAGGCUGCAGGUAGUCUUUCACCAUUUUGACUAGUGCUUAUACUUUAUGCAAAUAUUGGUUGUUUAAUCUCUGACCGGUUAAGGUCGCAGCUCCAAUUAUUUACAUAUAGGUCUAAGUCAAUUUUGUUGACAAUUAGGUUAAGCAGUUCUUAUUAAAACUGAUUUUUCUGGCAGUGUUUUUCUUAUGGAGCAUACACAUAAAAUAAAGUUAUGCUUAUUCUAGUGAUCGUUGAACACCAAUCCUAUUGUUUUCAAUUAAUUUACUUCACUGUGUUCUAUACUUUGUUAUUAAUUAGCAAAUAGAGGAUUUAAGCCUAGGGGCUCUUUACAAAUCAAAGCUUAUAAUGCUUAUUUGUCCUUAAUUUUCACAUUACCUGACCUUAAUCGUAAGGCUACUUUUAUAUUCAUUCAGGGGCAACUACCCCCUUUUCGAAUUGCGGUCCUCUCCCGUACUUCAUGGGCGGCGGGGUUCCCGUUCCGGUCCCCUUUGUGGCGUGUUUUUACCACCCAUUAUGCCUUUCUGGAAAGAAUCUGUUCUAUUUUUAUCUUUUUUAUGGCAUUUUAUAAUAAAUGCCCGUUUUCAAUCAACAA